rnacentral:rRNA from 1 species
AGUGAACGCUGGCGGUAGGCCUAACACAUGCAAGUCGAACGGCAGCACAGUAAGAGCUUGCUCUUACUGGUGGCGAGUGGCGGACGGGUGAGGAAUACAUCGGAAUCUACUUUUUCGUGGGGGAUAACGUAGGGAAACUUACGCUAAUACCGCAUACGACCUACGGGUGAAAGCAGGGGAUCUUCGGACCUUGCGCGAUUGAAUGAGCCGAUGUCGGAUUAGCUAGUUGGCGGGGUAAAGGCCCACCAAGGCGACGAUCCGUAGCUGGUCUGAGAGGAUGAUCAGCCACACUGGAACUGAGACACGGUCCAGACUCCUACGGGAGGCAGCAGUGGGGAAUAUUGGACAAUGGGCGCAAGCCUGAUCCAGCCAUACCGCGUGGGUGAAGAAGGCCUUCGGGUUGUAAAGCCCUUUUGUUGGGGAAGAAAAGCAGCAGGUUAAUACCCCGCUGUUCUGACGGUACCCAAAGAAUAAGCACCGGCUAACUUCGUG